rnacentral:rRNA from 1 species
GAAAGUAAGCAAGGGCAGACGGUGGAUGCCUUGGCUCUCGGAGGCGACGAAGGACGUGAUAAGCUGCGAAAAGCCCGGGGGAGGCGCAAAUAGCCGUUGAUCCCGGGAUAUCCGAAUGGGGCAACCCGGCAGGCUGAAGGCCUGUCAUCCCGAAAGGGAGGCGAACGUGGGGAACUGAAACAUCUAAGUACCCAUAGGAGGAGAAAAUAAACAAUGAUUCCGUAAGUAGUGGCGAGCGAACACGGAAGAGCCCAAACCCAUGUCGUCUAGGCGACACGGGGGUUGUAGGACCACGACGUGGCAAGAAGGAAGGGAAAUGGAACGCCUUGGAAAAGUCGGCCAUAGACGGUGAAAGCCCGGUACAUGACUCCCUUACGAAGCCUAGUGGUAUCCUGAGUAGCGCGGGGCACGAGAAAUCUUGCGUGAAGCAGCGGGGCCCAUCCCGUAAGGCUAAAUACUCCCGAGAGACCGAUAGCGAACCAGUACCGUGAGGGAAAGGUGAAAAGAACCCCGAGCAGGGGAGUGAAAUAGACCCUGAACCCGUCUGCCUACAAGCGGUCGGAGCGUCGUAAUGACGUGACGGCGUGCCUUUUGCAUAAUGAACCUACGAGUUACCUUCCCCGGCAAGGUUAAGUUCUUGAGGAACGGAGCCGAAGCGAAAGCGAGUCUGAACAGGGCGCCAAGUCGGGGGGGGUAGACGCGAAACCGAGUGAUCUACCCUUGGCCAGGUUGAAGGUUGGGUAACACCAACUGGAGGACCGGAUGGGUAAGCGUUGAAAAGCUUUCCAAUGAGCUGAGGGUAGGGGUGAAAGGCUAAUCAAACUCGGAGAUAGCUCGUACUCCCCGAAAUGCAUUUAGGUGCAGCCUCUUUAUAGUAUAUCGUGAGGUAGAGCGACUGAUUGGAUGCGAGGGCUUCACCGCCUAUCAAGUCCAGAUAAACUCCGAAUGCGCGAUAUAUAUUUACAGGGAGUGAGGGCGCGGGUGCUAAGGUCCGUGUCCGAGAGGAGAAGAAUCCAGACCACCGGCUAAGGCCCCCAAAUGAUCGUUAAGUUGAACUAACGAGGUCGGAUCGCAGAGACAGCUAGGAUGUUGGCUUGGAAGCAGCCAUUCAUUUAAAGAGUGCGUAACAGCUCACUAGUCGAGCGAUCUGGCGUGGAUAAUAAUCGGGCAUAAACGAUCUGCCGAAGCCGUGGAUGUCGCAAGACAUGGUAGGGGAGCAUUCCAUGCCGCGUCGAAGAUGAGGGAUGACCCUUGUUGGAGCGCAUGGAAAAGCAAAUGUAGGUAUGAGUAACGAUAAGGGGGGCGAGAAACCCCCCCGCCGAAAGACCAAGGUUUCCUGAUCAACGCUAAUCGGAUCAGGGUGAGUCGGGACCUAAGGCAAAGCCGAACGGCGCCGCCGAUGGAAGAAUGGGUUAAUAUUCCCAUACUGCCUCAUGGAGUGACGUGGAGACGGAGAAGUGACAGUCCUGCCGGCUGACGGAAUAGCCGGUUGAAGGGUGUAGAUAUUGAUUCCCGUAGGCAAAUCCGCGGGGAGAGUCGAACCUGAGAGUAUACGGAGCGCUUGCGCAACGUAAUAUGGACGUAACCAUGCUCCCGAGAAAAUCCGCUAAACUUAUCCAUGCGGCACCCGUACCGUAAACGGACACACGUGGUCGGGUUGAGAAUACUGAGGCGCUCGAGUGAUUCACGGUUAAGGAACUAGGCAAAUUGACCCUGUAACUUCGGGAUAAAGGGUCCUCGUCGUAAGGCGAGGCGCAGAGAAUAGGUCCAGGCAACUGUUUAACAAAAACACAUGGCUGUGCUAAAUGGAAACAUGAUGUAUACAGCCUGACACCUGCCCGGUGCUGGAAGGUUAAGAGGAGAUGUCAUCGCAAGAGAAGCGUUGAAUUGAAGCCCCAGUAAACGGCGGCCGUAACUAUAACGGUCCUAAGGUAGCGAAAUUCCUUGUCG